GUAAAAUUUCACUGAAAAAAAAAAAAAAAAAAAAAUUUAGUUACGAUAUCAAUAAUGUCCAUGAAGCACGAUGUGUAUUCUUGCAUUUGUCUUUGAAAAGGCAAUGGUCAGGAGAAGAAUAUUCCUGGAUGUAGAUCUUGAAGACAAAACAAACGGCUGAUACUAUAGACUGUUUGUCCAAUUAACAUAGCUGUGACAAGAAGGGAAAGAAUGAAUUUUAAACAUGGGCAGGGGACUGAAGAAAUGUGUGUAUGACUGUUCUACCCUCAGAAGAGGAUCUGAGGUGAAAA